rnacentral:rRNA from 1 species
GACGAACGCUGGCGGCGUGCCUAAUACAUGCAAGUCGAGCGCAGGAAAUCGACGGAACCCUUCGGGGGGAAGUCGACGGAAUGAGCGGCGGACGGGUGAGUAACACGUAAAGAACCUGCCCUCAGGUCUGGGAUAACCACGAGAAAUCGGGGCUAAUACCGGAUGGGUCAUCGGACCGCAUGGUCCGAGGAUGAAAGGCGCUUCGGCGUCGCCUGGGGAUGGCUUUGCGGUGCAUUAGCAAGUUGGUGGGGUAAUGGCCCACCAAGGCGACGAUGCAUAGCCGACCUGGGAGGGUGACGGGCAACACUGGGACUGAAACACGGCCAAGACUCCGACGGGAGGCAGAAGUAGGGAAUCUUCCAAAAUGGACGAAAGUCUGAUGGAGCAACGCCGCGUGAACGAUGAAGGCCUUCGGGUCGUAAAGUUCUGUUGUAAGGGAAGAACAAGUGCCGCAGGCAAUGGCGGCACCUUGACGGUACCUUGCGAGAAAGCCACGGCUAACUACGUGCCAGCCGCCGCCGUAA